rnacentral:rRNA from 1 species
UACAGAGACCUCAAGCGUUAUCCGGAUUUACUGGGCGUAAAGCGUUCCGAUCGGUGGAUUAGUGUGUUUGUUGUGAAAUGCCGGGGCUCAACCCCGUGCCUGCAGCGAAAACUAUUAAUCUAGAAGGUCAAAGAGGUGGCUAGAAUUCUGCAAGUACCGGUGAAAUGGGUUGAUAUGCAGGAGAAUACCAAAAGCGAAGGCAGGCCACUGGGUGACUCUUGACACUGCUAGGACGAAAGCGUGGGGAGCGAAUAGG